rnacentral:rRNA from 1 species
GUGGGGAAUAUUGGACAAUGGGCGAAAGCCUGAUCCAGCCAUGCCGCGUGUGUGAAGAAGGUCUUCGGAUUGUAAAGCACUUUAAGUUGGGAGGAAGGGCAGUAAGUUAAUACCUUGCUGUUUUGACGUUACCAACAGAAUAAGCACCGGCUAACUUCGUGCCAGCAGCCGCGGUAAUACGAAGGGUGCAAGCGUUAAUCGGAAUUACUGGGCGUAAAGCGCGCGUAGGUGGUUCAGCAAGUUGGAGUGGAGAGCCCCGGGCUCAAACUGGGAACUGCCUCCAAAACUACUGAGCUAGAGUACGGUAGAGGGUAGUGGAAUUUCCUGUGUAGCGGUGAAAUGCGUAGAUAUAGGAAGGAACACCAGUGGCGAAGGCGACUACCUGGACUGAUACUGACACUGAGGUGCGAAAGCGUGGGGAGCAAACAGGAUUAGAUACCCCAGUAGUCC